rnacentral:rRNA from 1 species
AAUAGAUACCCGGGUAGUCCACGCCGUAAACGAUGAGUGCUAGGUGUUAGAGGGUUUCCGCCCUUUAGUGCUGCAGCUAACGCAUUAAGCACUCCGCCUGGGGAGUACGGCCGCAAGGCUGAAACUCAAAGGAAUUGACGGGGGCCCGCACAAGCGGUGGAGCAUGUGGUUUAAUUCGAAGCAACGCGAAGAACCUUACCAGGUCUUGACAUCCUCUGCCAACCCUAGAGAUAGGGCGUUCCCCUUCGGGGGACAGAGUGACAGGUGGUGCAUGGUUGUCGUCAGCUCGUGUCGUGAGAUGUUGGGUUAAGUCCCGCAACGAGCGCAACCCUUGAUCUUAGUUGCCAGCAUUCAGUUGGGCACUCUAAGGUGACUGCCGGUGACAAACCGGAGGAAGUGGGGAUGACGUCAAAUCAUCAUGCCCCUUAUGACCUGGGCUACACACGUGCUACAAUGGAUGGUACAAAGAGCUGCGAACCCGCGAGGGUAAGCGAAUCUCAUAAAGCCAUUCUCAGUUCGGAUUGUAAGGUCCG